AGUGAACGCCGGCGGUAGGCCUAACACAUGCAAGUCGAACGGCAGCACAGUAAGAGCUUGCUCUUACGGGUGGCGAGUGGCGGACGGGUGAGGAAUACAUCGGAAUCUACUUUUUCGUGGGGGAUAACGUAGGGAAACUUACGCUAAUACCGCAUACGACCUACGGGUGAAAGCAGGGGAUCUUCGGACCUUGCGCGAUUGAAUGAGCCGAUGUCGGAUUAGCUAGUUGGCGGGGUAAAGGCCCACCAAGGCGACGCGCCGUAGCUGGUCUGAGAGGAUGAUCGGCCGCACUGGAACUGAGACACGGUCCAGGCUCCUACGGGAGGCAGCAGUGGGGAAUAUUGGACAAUGGGCGGAAGCCUGAUCCAGCCAUACCGCGUGGGUGAAGAAGGCCUUCGGGUUGUAAAGCCCUUUUGUUGGGAAAGAAAAGCAGCAGGUUAAUACCCCGCUGUUCUGACGGUACCCAAAGAAUAGGCAGCGGCUAGCUUCGUG
rnacentral:rRNA from 1 species